rnacentral:rRNA from 1 species
GAGUUUGAUCAUGGCUCAGGACGAACGCUGGCGGCGUGCUUAACACAUGCAAGUCGAACGAUGAAGCCUAGCUUGCUAGGUGGAUUAGUGGCGAACGGGUGAGUAAUACGUGAGUAACCUACCUUUAACUCUGGGAUAAGCCUGGGAAACUGGGUCUAAUACCGGAUACGACCAAUCUCCGCAUGGGGUGUUGGUGGAAAGCGUUAUGUAGUGGUUAUAGAUGGGCUCACGGCCUAUCAGCUUGUUGGUGAGGUAACGGCUCACCAAGGCGACGACGGGUAGCCGGCCUGAGAGGGUGACCGGCCACACUGGGACUGAGACACGGCCCAGACUCCUACGGGAGGCAGCAGUGGGGAAUAUUGCACAAUGGGCGCAAGCCUGAUGCAGCGACGCCGCGUGAGGGAUGACGGCCUUCGGGUUGUAAACCUCUGUUAGCAGGGAAGAAGAGAGAUUGACGGUACCUGCAGAGAAAGCGCCGGCUAACUACGUGCCAGCAGCCGCGGUAAUACGUAGGGCGCGAGCGUUGUCCGGAAUUAUUGGGCGUAAAGAGCUUGUAGGGCGGUUUGUCGCGUCUGCUGUGAAAGGCCGGAGCUUAACUCCGUGUAUUGCAGUGGGUACGGGCAGACUAGAGUGCAGUAGGGGAGACUGGAAUUCCUGGUGUAGCGGUGGAAUGCGCAGAUAUCAGGAGGAACACCGAUGGCGAAGGCAGGUCUCUGGGCUGUAACUGACGCUGAGAAGCGAAAGCAUGGGGAGCGAACAGGAUUAGAUACCCUGGUAGUCCAUGCCGUAAACGUUGGGCACUAGGUGUGGGGGACAUUCCACGUUUUCCGCGCCGUAGCUAACGCAUUAAGUGCCCCGCCUGGGGAGUACGGCCGCAAGGCUAAAACUCAAAGAAAUUGACGGGGGCCCGCACAAGCGGCGGAGCACGCGGAUUAAUUCGAUGCAACGCGAAGAACCUUACCAAGGCUUGACAUAUACUGGACCGCAUCAGAGAUGGUGUUUCCCUUCGGGGCUGGUAUACAGGUGGUGCAUGGUUGUCGUCAGCUCGUGUCGUGAGAUGUUGGGUUAAGUCCCGCAACGAGCGCAACCCUCGUUCUAUGUUGCCAGCACGUUAUGGUGGGGACUCAUAGGAGACUGCCGGGGUCAACUCGGAGGAAGGUGGGGAUGACGUCAAAUCAUCAUGCCCCUUAUGUCUUGGGCUUCACGCAUGCUACAAUGGCCGGUACAGAGGGUUGCGAUACUGUGAGGUGGAGCUAAUCCCUAAAAGCCGGUCUCAGUUCGGAUUGGGGUCUGCAAACUCGACCCCCAUGAAGUCGGAGUCGCUAGUAAUCGCAGAUCGGCAACGCUGCGGUGAAUACGUUCCCGGGCUUUGU